AGUAAGGAAUAUUGGUCAAUGGACGCAAGUCUGAACCAGCCAUGCCGCGUGGAGGAUGAAGGUCCUCUGGAUUGUAAACUUCUUUUAUCUGGGACGAAACACUUCUUUUCUAAGAGGCCUGACGGUACCAGAUGAAUAAGCACCGGCUAACUCCGUGCCAGCAGCCGCGGUAAUACGGAGGGUGCAAGCGUUAUCCGGAUUCACUGGGUUUAAAGGGUGCGUAGGUGGGUAUGUAAGUCAGAGGUGAAAUCCCCGAGCUUAACUUGGGAACUGCCUUUGAUACUAUAUAUCUUGAAUACCGUAGAGGUAAGCGGAAUAUGUCAUGUAGCGGUGAAAUGCUUAGAUAUGACAUGGAACACCAAUUGCGAAGGCAGCUUACUAUGCGGAAAUUGACACUGAGGCACGAAAGCGUGGGUAGCAAA
rnacentral:rRNA from 1 species